rnacentral:rRNA from 1 species
GUGUGCUUACAAGUAGUCAGAGCCCGUUAAUGGGUGAUGGCGUGCCUUUUGUAGAAUGAACCGGCGAGUUACGAUUUGAUGCAAGGUUAAGCAGUGAAUGUGGAGCCGUAGCGAAAGCGAGUCUGAAUAGGGCGUUGAGUAUUUGGUCGUAGACCCGAAACCAGGUGAUCUACCCUUGACCAGGUUGAAGUUCAGGUAACACUGAAUGGAGGACCGAACCGACUUACGUUGAAAAGUGAGCGGAUGAGUUGAGGGUAGCGGAGAAAUUCCAAUCGAACCUGGAGAUAGCUGGUUCUCUCCGAAAUAGCUUUAGGGCUAGCCUCAAGUGAUGAUUAUUGGAGGUAGAGCACUGUUUGGACGAGGGGCCCUUCUC